UUGAAAACUGGGCAAUUCGAUCAAUGCUGGGAAUCCUCAUCAUAUCAGAACAGCCAUGAAUAUGGCUGCUCUUACGAAGCUCUAUCUUGUAGCUACUGUAUUCCUCCUCUUCUCAAAUUACAGUGCUCGGUGCAUUUCUGCAUCCGCACUUGAUCAUCAAGGUUCCACAGAUGAGCUCAAGUCGAGGUGGUUUAGGGAUUGUGAAACCGGCCGAUACACAAAGCUCGAUCGUCUGAAGUGUCGAAAUGCAUUUAGGUUAAGAAACACGGGGAAAGCUCCUUGGUCUGAGAGCCUUAAAAAGGCCCUAUCGCCGCCACCAGCACCUGAUGUCAUGAGAGGUUCAUUACCUUCGGAAGAUGAUGCCCCGCCACCGCCAAGCACCUAACGAUGAAUUUAACGGCCAUGCAAUGUCCUUUAUCGUGUGUUUACAAGCUUACACUUCAAUUUACGUACUUAAAUUUGUUCAUAACAAGUGUAAGAUGUAAUUUUAAAAGUAUGUGUUAAUAAUAAUCAUGUUUUGUUUAGUUAUACAUAUAA